AGAGUUUGAUCCUGGCUCAGAACGAACGUUAGCGGCGCGCCUAACACAUGCAAGUCGCACGAGAAAGGGCUUCGGCCCCGGUAAAGUGGCGCACGGGUGAGUAACACGUAGGUAAUCUUCCCUCGAGUAGGGGAUAACUCUCCGAAAGGAGAGCUAAUACCGCAUAAGACCACGGUUCCUUCGGGUUCUGUGGCCAAAGCGGGCCUCUUCACGAAAGCUCGCACUUGAGGAUGAGCCUGCGGCCCAUCAGGCAGUUGGCGGGGUAACGGCCCACCAAACCUAAGACGGGUAGCUGGUCUGAGAGGAUGGUCAGCCACACUGGAACUGAGACACGGUCCAGACUCCUACGGGAGGCAGCAGUGGGGAAUCUUGCGCAAUGGGGGAAACCCUGACGCAGCGACGCCGCGUGAGUGAUGAAGGCCUUCGGGUCGUAAAGCUCUGUGGGGAGGGACGAAUAAGUGUUGGCUAACAUCCAGCAUGAUGACGGUACCUCCUUAGCAAGCACCGGCUAACUCUGUGCCAGCAGCCGCGGUAAGACAGAGGGUGCAAACGUUGUUCGGAAUUACUGGGCGUAAAGCGCGUGUAGGCGGCGUAGCACGUCGGGCGUGAAAGCCCACGGCUCAACCGUGGAAGAGCACUCGAAACUGCUGCGCUAGAGUUCUGGAGAGGAAGGCGGAAUGCUUGGUGUAGAGGUGAAAUUCGUAGAUAUCAAGCGGAACACCGGUGGCGAAGGCGGCCUUCUGGACAGUGACUGACGCUGAAACGCGAAAGCGUGGGGAGCAAACAGGAUUAGAUACCCUGGUAGUCCACGCCGUAAACGAUGGGUGCUAGGUGUCGCGGGCUUUGACCCUCGCGGUGCCGCAGCUAACGCGUUAAGCACCCGCUGGGAGUACGCCGCAAGGCUAAACUCAAGGAUUGACGGGGCCCGCACAAGCGGUGGAGCAUGGUGUUUAAUUCGACG
rnacentral:rRNA from 1 species